GACGAACGCUGGCGGCGUGCUUAACACAUGCAAGUCGAAUGGAGAGGCCCUGCCUUUGUGGCGUUCUCGAGUGGCGAACGGGUGAGUAACACGUGAGUAACCUGCUCCUGACUUUGGGUUAACUCCAGGAAACUGGGGCAAUUACCGGUUAUGAACUCCCGCGGCAUGGUGGGGGUUGGAAAGUUUCGGCGGUUGGGGAUGGAGUCGCGGUUUAUCUGCUUGUUGGUGGGGGAGUGGCUUACCAAGGCCUUGACGGGUAGCCGGACUGGGAGGGUGGCUAGCGACACUGGGACUGGACUACGGCGCGGGGUACUACGGGGGACAGCAGUGGGGAAUGAUGAACCAUGGGCGGGAGCCUGAUGGAGCAACGCCGCGUGCGGGAUGUUGGACUUCGGGUUGUAGACCGAUUUCACCUGUAACCAAGGGGGAGUGACGGUAAUGGAUAAGGAAGCACCGGCUAACUACGUG
rnacentral:rRNA from 1 species